AUGGCCUGCUUCAUUGAUGGAUUUGCGAGCAAUCUUUGCUUUCUUAGAAUAUCCUCGAUGGGCAUUGAUGUCAGGAUUGUGUCCAACUUUGGGACAUCCUUCUCCUCCAAAAAAAUACCAAUUUCUUCCCAUGGGAUAGCAUCAGCAAAUGGCAGCACAAUAUCGUCAGCUAUGAUGACUGGAAUGCAGCCAAAGACCACAGCCUCAACCAACCUAGGGCUCCAUGGUGCCCAGCCCAAUGGGCACAGGCAGAAGACAGCACGCUGCAUGUCUUCGUAG
rnacentral:rRNA from 1 species